ACUCUUAUCAAUGAAAUUCACUGACCAUUCAGUUAAAAUUCCAAAACUUGACUGCUUGUUUUUUCUUUUUGCAAUCUUUCAGUCUAAAGAAAGCAGUUAAAUGUUGCUAUUCAUUGCUCAAUAUAUUAGCUUGAGGAAUAAAGAUUAUGACUUUCAGAACAUAUACAAAACCCCAAGCAAAACCCUUGUUCAAAACUAUCAAAGCCCAGUUCACACAAUCUCAUGCUGCUACUUUAAACCUGGAAGAAUGUUUAUUAGAACCUAAAUGCUCACUUGCACAUAACCUGUUCGAUAGAAGUCCUCAACAAGACCUUGUACACUGCAAUUACUUGCUUUUCGAGUAUUCUCGUAGUAAUUCUCACCAUGAAGUUGUCAAUCUUUUUGCGGAUAUUCAUCGCACGGGGGUUCUCAUUGACGGGUCUACCCUUUCAUGUGUUCUAAAAGCUUGUGCAAGCUUGUUUGACAAGAUGAUUGGGAUUCAGGUGCAUGAUUACUGUGUAAAAUCUGGUUUUUUGGAGGAUGUUAGUGUAGGCACUUCUCUUGUUGACAUGUAUAUGAAGAAUGAGAGUGUUGAAGAGGGAAGAGAAGUUUUUGAUGAAAUGGAAAUGAGGAAUGUUGUGUCAUGGACCUCAUUGCUUGCUGGUUAUGCUCACAAUGGAUUGAAUAUGGAAGCAUUGGAGUGUUUCUUUAAAAUGCAAGCAGAGGGUAUUAAGCCUAACCCGUUUACAUUUGCUACUGUUCUUGGAGUUUUGGCAGAUGAUAAAGCUAUGGCUGACCAGGGAAUUCAAAUUCACACCAUGAUCAUUAAAUAUGGGUUUGAGGCAACUGUAUCUGUUUGCAAUUCUUUGAUUAACAUGUACUCAAAGUCGGGGGUGGUUAGAAAUGCAAAGACUGUUUUUGACAGUAUGGUCGCCAGGGAUUCUGUCAGUUGGAAUAGUAUGGUUUCUGGCUAUGUAGUCAAUGGACUUUAUUUGGAAGCUGUUGAGAUGUUUUACCAUCUGAGACUUGCUGAUGUUAAGUUCUCGAAUUUUGUUUUUGCCUCUGUUAUCAAGUCGUGUGCUAAUAUUAAGGAAUUGGGGUUUGCUAGGCAACUUCAUACUCAGGUCAUAAAGAGUGGGUUUGAAUUCGAUCAUAAUGUUACUGUAGCGUUGAUGACAGCUUACAGUAAAAGCAGGGAGAUGGAUGAUGCUUUCAAGAUAUUUUCUACGAUGCAUGGAACUCGAAAUGUGGUGUCGUGGACAGCAAUGAUUAAUGGGUAUUUGCAGAAUGGUUCAUCAGAGCAAGCUGUUACGGUAUUUCAAGAAAUGAACAGGGACGGUGUUAGACCAAAUGAUUAUACUUAUUCUACUAUCCUUGCAGCACAACCAGUUGUGUCUCCUUUAGAAGUUCACGCACAAAUCAUCAAAAGUGAUUAUCAGAAAUCGGCUUCAGUCGGAACUGCACUUUUAGAUGCUUAUGUCAAGCUACGAAACCUUGAUGAAGCAUUAAAAGUUUUUAAAAGUAUAGAUGAGAAAGACAUUGUGGCAUGGUCAGCAAUGGUUGGUGGAUUUGCUCAAAUAGGAAACACUGAAGAAGCUGUUAAGAUAUUCAACCAAAUGGCUAAGGAGGGGAUUGAACCUAAUGAGUAUACAUUCUCUAGUAUCAUAAAUGCGUGUGCUUCCCCUACUGCAUCCGUAGAACAAGGAAAACAGUUCCAUGCCUGGUCAAUUAAGUCUAGAUUUAAUGAUGCUUUAUGUGUGAGCAGUGCACUUGUAACCUUGUAUUCAAAAAGAGGGGAUAUCGAGAGUGCAUAUGAAGUUUUCAAGAGGCAAGGAAUGAGAGAUAUAGUUUCGUGGAACUCGAUGGUCUCCGGAUAUGCACAACACGGGCACGGAAGGAGGGCGCUUGAGGUAUUUAAGGAGAUGCAAAAGCAAAACAUGGAAAUGGAUGGUGUAACAUUCAUUGGUGUAAUUUCUGCUUGCACACAUGCUGGACUAGUGGAUGAAGGUCAAAAAUAUUUUGAUAUCAUGGUGAAAGAUCACCACAUUAAGCCAACAACGGAGCAUUAUUCUUGUAUGGUUGAUCUAUAUAGCCGAGCUGGAAUGCUCGGAAAAGCCACAGAGAUCAUCAACAUAAUGCCAUUUCCUGCAGAUGCAACUGUGUGGCGAACUCUCUUGGCUGCUUCUCGUGUUUACCGCAAUCUAGAACUGGGGAAGCUUGCCGCGGAGAAUCUCAUAUCACUCCAACCACAACACUCGGCUGCGUAUGUCUUGCUAUCGAAUAUAUAUGCUGCAGCAGGAAAUUGGCAAGAAAGAGCUAAGGUAAGGAAAUUGAUGAAUGACAGGAAAGUGAAAAAAGAGGCUGGGUACAGCUGGAUUGAGGUGAAAACGACGACCUAUUCGUUUUUAGCUGGAGAUGUUUCGCAUCCAAUGUCGGGUGAAAUUUAUGCAAAACUUGCAGAACUAAGCAGCCGACUGAAGGAUGCUGGUUAUCAACCUGAUACCAAUUAUGUGCUUCAGGAUGUUGAGGAAGAACACAAGGAAACUAUUCUUUCUCAACAUAGUGAGAGGCUGGCUAUUGCUUUCGGAUUGAUUGCCACAUCUGCAGGAACUCCUCUGCAGAUUGUGAAGAAUCUGAGAGUCUGUGGAGAUUGCCAUACUGUUAUUAAGUUAAUAUCAAUGAUGGAAGAUAGGUGUAUUGUAGUCAGAGAUUCAAAUCGCUUCCAUCACUUUAAGGGAGGUUCGUGCUCUUGUGGCGAUUAUUGGUGAGAGCUCCUCGGGUUAGUCUGUUUAGAAUGAAAUCUUUGGUGAUAUUAUUAGGACAUCAGGAUCAUCUUCAGGAUAAGGUCCCACAUCACAAUUAUUUGCUGCAGGAAGUUUCACUUCCAAAAGGAAUAAGGUUACAUCAAAUGUAAAGACACUAGGUGAGGCUGGCAGCAUCCGCAGACCAAUUGCCCCGAAUACGAAGCUUCCGUUACUUGUCUUGAUCGGUGUGAAGUCGAUCCUGAAAGACAUCUUUUGUCCUGUCUUUGUAAAGUUGAGUAUGGCAGGUGUAACUGUAACUUCAACACCGCUGGGAUGAUCUAUUUUAGCAGAGUAAACAGAUGGUCCUUUAUCGUAAUAAGUGACUGUUCGAUGGACAGACACGCUUCCCUGCAUUUUCGACACACCAAUGGAAGGGUAGUUAAAAUCAUAGGAUUUAGUGUCAGGUUUUUGGCAAUAAGUUGGUUGUCCUGUCAGGUUUUUCAAUUGUGCAGGGCUUGCACCUGUACUGCAAAGAAAAUUGAUAACAUCGUAGGAAUCGAAGUCGUAAAUCAGUCCCGGAUUCAGCGCUGCUGUCGGAUUUACAUGUCCGGACCCGUAGUCAAAAGACAUAAUUGCUGCUGGACUCCAAGAAGGUCUGUAAGAUUUUAAGAUUGCAGCAAUUGCUGCAAUGUGUGGGCAAGACAUUGAAGUCCCAGAGAGUAUGUUAUAAUUGACUGAUCUGUGUCCUGUUACAUCAGUUGCUAGCGGAGACCAUGCUGCCAAAAUAUUCAAACCUGGUGCUGUAAUAUCAGGCUGCAAUAUGAGUUCAAAAGGUCAGACAACAGCUGUAACUUUUCUUUUUUGUAUCUAGAGGUGUGCAAAAGCCAAACCAAAUAACCGAAACGAACCUAAAAUAUAAGAUUGGUUAGGUCAUUGAUAAAAA